UCCGGCGAGAAAACUCAGUGGG
rnacentral:miRNA from 1 species